UUGCUUAGACUGGCAAAAAUCUUAUCCAAAAAGUUGUUUAUGCCGCACAAAGGCCGUUAUGCUAUAAUGACAAUAAUGAUUUAUAAUUAAAAAAUUCGUUUAAAAUUACUACGAGUGAAAGUGUAUCAGACAGCCGGCUAAUAGUUAAAAUAGACGUAUUAACAAAAUGCAUUAAAGUGCCUUAAGAAGUUUUUACACGUCUUAUAAAGUUUAAGUGCCCUUGAAUCUGCAACAUAUUUGAGGACAUCGAUAAAGCUUGAAUGUAAUGUAAUCACUAUUCUUCACGCGCGUUAUCGUCUUCUUCAUAGCGAUUUGCCCAUGAAAUGUAGAGAGAAAUGCUGACGCGCAAACGGUCCAGCGUGGUUCAAGCUGGCAUGAAUGAAAACUUGCAUUAUUUGCCUCUAAAACUCGAGGCGUGAGACGCGAGAAUACAAGCCCGUUGUGAAACAGAGAUACAGUUAAAGGGGCAGAUUCUUUGAAGAAAAUCAAUUAAGUGAAGGCAGAGCGAUGUGACGGCUUGGAGAGGAUCUUAAAAGCCUCUGAUGACAUCCGCAAGUUUAGCUCCAUUCAGUCCUGAAUUCUGCAUGAGUCUCAUGACCAUGUGAAUGUCUUCUUAUAUCUGCUCCAUCUGCUUCAUCUCUGAAAGGUAAUCCAUCUAAUGUGGGUUAAAUACAACCCAUGAGAGAGAGAGAGAGAAAUACAUGUGUAAAUGUGCUCAUCUGAACACAUGCAUGCAUUAUUAGUCAUAAAUGUUAAGUGUGUCUUUUCUGCCAGCCAGGUACAAUUAUAAUCUAACACCAGUGUCAGACCCCCUCCUCUCCCUUUUCCUCUGAUCCAAUCAUCUUCUCCUACAUCCGUUCUCCACUAAUCAUUUUGGCCCUCCUCACAGUCACAGCAGAAACCAAACUAAAGGACCUCCAAACUCUGCAGGGCGAUGAUGGAUGUCUUGCAGUUGUCGGGUCCAAAUCAGCACCCAUUGUCUUCCCAUGAAAAAAUGAAUUCAUCUACAUCUUGGAUGGCCUAAGAGGGAGUACAUUUUUGGCAUAUUUUCAUUUCA
rnacentral:lncRNA from 1 species